rnacentral:lncRNA from 1 species
UGGGAAUUUGUUGGUCCUGUCAGAGGUGGAGGUUCAGAUAACAACAAUUCUUGUUUUAGCCCAACACUAUGAUCCAUUUCUAGUUGAUGCCAACAAUAGAAGAAUUUGAGGAGACCUUAGAUGUAUUCCUCAAGGGAAACACUUCAUACCACCUUGGGCAGUAUAUACCUGNUUUGCAGCUAGCAAGGAUAAUGAAAGUU